UUUUUUGAGAGUUUGAUCCUGGCUCAGGAUGAACGCUGGCGGCGUGGAUAAGGCAUGCAAGUCGAGAGGGUUAGACCCUCGGCAAACGGGUUAGUAAUACAUAGGAACGUACCCUCAAGUCGUGAAUAAUCCAGAGAAAUCUGGAAUAAUACACGAUAAUCUCUACGGAGUAAAGAUUUAUCGCUUGAGGAGCGGCCUGUGUCCUAUCAGCUAGUUGGUAAGGUAAUGGCUUACCAAGGCUAUGACGGGUAGGGGGCGUGAGAGCGUGAUCCCCAACAUUGGAACUGAGACACUGUCCAAACACCUACGGGUGGCUGCAGUCGAGAAUAUUCCACAAUGGGCGAAAGCCUGAUGGAGCGACGCCGCGUGCGGGAAGAAGACCCUUGGGUUGUAAACCGCUUUUGUAAGGGAAGAAUCCCACACCUUUUGGUUUUUUUGAUAUGAAAAAAUUCAAAAAGGCUUUUUAGAAAAGAGCCAAAAGGCGUGGGAUGACGGUACCUUGCGAAUAAGAGGUUGCUAACUCUGUGCCAGCAGCAGCGGUAAUACAGAGACCUCAAGCGUUAUCCGGAUUUAUUGGGCGUAAAGAGCAUGUAGGCGGAUAUAUUAGUCAGAUGUCAAAUCUUCGAGCUCAACUCGAAAACUGCAUUUGAAACGGUAUAUCUUGAGGAAGUGAGAGAUCAAUGGAACGUAUGGUGUAGCAGUGAAAUGCGUUGAUAUCAUACGGAACACCAAAGGCGAAGGCAUUUGAUUGGCACUUUUCUGACGCUGAGAUGCGAAAGCGUGGGUAGCGAAUGGGAUUAGAUACCCCAGUAGUCCACGCCGUAAACGAUGCAUACUUGGUAUUACGAGAAUCGACCCUCGUAGUGUCGUAGCUAACGCGUUAAGUAUGCCGCCUGGGAAGUACGAGCGCAAGCUUAAAACUCAAAGGAAUAGACGGGGAUCCGCACAAGUGGUGGAGCAUGUGGUUUAAUUCGACGACAAGCGAGGAACCUCACCAGGGCUUGAAACUAUACUGCAUUAUGUAGAAAUACAUAAGCCUUCGAGGGUGUAUAGCAGGCGUUGCACGGUCGUCGUCAGCUCGUGUCGUAAGAUGUUCUGUUAAGUCAGGAAACGAGCGCAACCCCUAUCGUGUGUUAUUAUGUCACACGAGACUGCCCAGAACUUUGCACAUUAGUGUAAAGUAAUGACCAAUAACCAAGAAACAAUAACCAAAAUUUUGGAAUUUGUAUCUUGUAUCUUGGAAUUUACUUUGCGAACUAUAGUGAGCAAAGUUCUGGGAGGAAGGCGGGGAUGACGUCAGAUCAGCGUGGCCCUUUGACGCCCUGGGCUACACACGUGCUACAAUGGCCAUUACAAAGGGUAGCCAAAUCGCAAGAUGGAGCUAAUCCCAUAAAGAUGGUCUCAGUUCGGAUUGAGGUCUGCAACUCGACCUCAUGAAGCCGGAAUCACUAGUAAUCGUGAAUCAGCCAUGUCACGGUGAAUACGUUCUCGGAUCUUGUACUCACCGCCCGUCACACCAAGAGAGUCGGUAACACCGGAAGACCCCGAAUCAAAUCGGGGGCCAGGGUGGGAUCGAUGAUAAGGGUGAAGUCGUAACAAGGCAUCGGUAGCGGAAGCUGUCGAUGGAUCACCUCCUUUCUA
rnacentral:rRNA from 1 species